UACGUAGGGGGCAAGCGUUGUCCGGAUUUAUUGGGCGUAAAGAGCGUGUAGGCGGUUAGGUAGGUCCGUUGUGAAAACUCGAGGCUCAACCUCGAGACGCCGAUGGAAACCAUCUGACUAGAGUCCGGAAGAGGAGAGUGGAAUUCCUGGUGUAGCGGUGAAAUGCGUAGAGAUCAGGAAGAACACCGGUGGCGAAAGCGCUCUGCUGGACCUAAACUGACACUGAGGGACGAAAGCUAGGGGAGCGAAUGGG
rnacentral:rRNA from 1 species